GCAUCAGUCGUCUAGUGGUUUAGGAUUCUAGUCUUCCACUACCAGCGCGAUUUACGCGUUUGUGGGACUUCUAACUGGUGACGAGGGUUCGAAUCCCUCCUGAUGCA